rnacentral:rRNA from 1 species
CAGCCGCCGCGGUAAUACGUAGGUGGCUAGCGUUGUCCGGAAUUAUUGGGCGUAAAGGGCUCGCAGGCGGUUUCUUAAGUCUGAUGUGAAAGCCCCCGGCUCAACCGGGGAGGGUCAUUGGAGACUGGGAAACUUGAGUGCAGAAGAGGAGAGUGGAAUUCCACGUGUAGCGGUGAAAUGCGUAGAGAUGUGGAGGAACACCAGUGGCGGAGGCGACUCUCUGGUCUGUAACUGACGCUGAGGAGCGAAAGCGUGGGGAGCGAACAGGAUUAGAUACCCCAGUAGUCCCUGUCUCUUAUAC